GGUGGGGGGGGCGCAGGCACUUGUGCCGGCGCAGCCUCUCGCAUCAAGUGAGGACUAAUCCCAUCCCUGGGCCUGCUCUCUGUUCCCUUCCUGCAUUAGAGAUUGGCUAUAAGGAGAAGGCUGACGGCUGCAGCAUGAAGCGCAUUAUUACCUUGUGAUUCCAUGACCCUCCUCUAUGCAUCCCUAACUCUCGAAAGCUGAUUCAGCUUUCAGCUAGUGCUCUGGUGAGUCCUCUGCUGCAACAGAAGCUCCUAACUGGCAUGUGAUAUCUUUUGGGGGUUGGUUGUCUGCGGGUAGUGUCUCACUUCCAGUGACCAGAAGAGGAAAAAUCAUUGGAUUCACUAGAAACCAUGUGUGAACCAUCCUCUCCUGGGCUUCUUGGAGGACUCUGAGUUCUGUUUCUGCUGCUGAAAGCUCCAUUCCCAAAGUCUCCCUGGGACAGCGAGGCUGCAAAACCCCAAGUGUCCUUAGGAGACUACCUCUUCAAAGGAUGGCAAGCAUGCCUUCAGAUACAGACGAGGCAACCUGGAUGGAUGGCGGAGUGAGGGAGGCGAGUGAUCUGGGAAGACAGAGAUUUUCUGGGAGAGCAAAAUGAACCCUUGAUGAAGCCUUUGGGAUUAAAGAGGUGGCUUAGUUCUUUCACAGCAUCCACCCUUCAACCCAUUUAAGCACCAUGCCUUUUCCAAGAAAUGAAGGGCAAAGAAGCACUGAUAAGCAAUAAAGAGAUAAGCAGCAAAGUACUCGUUUCACCGGUGUUUCCCAAUGAAAAAUGAACCCUCAAGCACACCCAGUGAUUUGUUGUCUAAGUAGCAAAGCUCACCCAAGUUCCUGAUUUUGCUUCCAGCAGAGAUGCUCAUUGCUCAUUCUCACACCCUGGAGCAACUCGGACUCAUUAUACGGCACUCGCUCUUCCCACCUGCACCUGCCUGGGUGCAGCAAGGACCAGGUUAUAUAUGUACAUAUACAUUUUA